AGGGGGAUAACUACUGGAAACGGUAGCUAAUACCGCAUAACGUCUUCGGACCAAAGUGGGGGACCNUCGGGCCUCACACCAUCGGAUGUGCCCAGAUGGGAUUAGCUAGUAGGUGGGGUAAUGGCUCACCUAGGCGACGAUCCCUAGCUGGUCUGAGAGGAUGACCAGCCACACUGGAACUGAGACACGGUCCAGACUCCUACGGGAGGCAGCAGUGGGGAAUAUUGCACAAUGGGCGCAAGCCUGAUGCAGCCAUGCCGCGUGUAUGAAGAAGGCCUUCGGGUUGUAAAGUACUUUCAGCGGGGAGGAAGGCGAUAAGGUUAAUAACCUUGUCGAUUGACGUUACCCGCAGAAGAAGCACCGGCUAACUCCGUGCCAGCAGCCGCGGUAAUACGGAGGGUGCAAGCGUUAAUCGGAAUUACUGGGCGUAAAGCGCACGCAGGCGGUCUGUCAAGUCAGAUGUGAAAUCCCCGGGCUUAACCUGGGAACUGCAUUUGAAACUGGCAGGCUAGAGUCUUGUAGAGGGGGGUAGAAUUCCAGGUGUAGCGGUGAAAUGCGUA
rnacentral:rRNA from 1 species